rnacentral:rRNA from 1 species
UGUGAACGUUACCAAUCUGUUGCCUCGGCGGGAUUCUCUGCCCCGGGCGCGUCGCAGCCCCGGAUCCCAUGGCGCCCGCCGGAGGACCAACUCAAACUCUUUUUUCUCUCCGUCGCGGCCUACGUCGCGGCUCUGUUUUAUUUUUGCUCUGAGCCUUUCUCGGCGACCCUAGCGGGCGUCUCGAAAAUGAAUCAAAACUUUCAACAACGGAUCUCUUGGUUCUGGCAUCGAUGAAGAACGCAGCGAAAUGCGAUAAGUAAUGUGAAUUGCAGAAUUCAGUGAAUCAUCGAAUCUUUGAACGCACAUUGCGCCCGCCAGUAUUCUGGCGGGCAUGCCUGUCCGAGCGUCAUUUCAACCCUCGAACCCCUCCGGGGGGUCGGCGUUGGGGAUCGGCCCCUCACCGGGCCGCCCCCGAAAUACAGUGGCGGUCUCGCCGCAGCCUCUCCUGCGCAGUAGUUUGCACACUCGCACCGGGAGCGCGGCGCGGCCACAGCCGUAAAACACCCCAAACUCUGAAAUGUUGACCUCGGAUCAGGUAGGAAUACCCGCUGAACUUAA